UUGCCCCAUUUUGUGCCAUCACCAAAUUCAUCAUCGUUGCAAGCCACAGUACUCUCCAACUCGUCCUCUGCUUCAGGAGGCUCCCAAACUUGGGCAUUGAUUUCAUCAUCACCAGAACAGGAAGUUUGAUUUCCUUCAUUCAAGGAUUCAACAAGAUUCUGAGAAGAAUUAUCUUUUGCUUCUUGUCCAUCGGUAGUUUCCAUUAUUUCUAUGUCUCUGACAAUGUCCCUAUCACAGCUAUAAUGGCUUUUCUCCAAGCUGUUUUCUGUCAUUUUAUACAAUUGGUGUACUCCAGUUACUGGAGCUUCCAGACUUGAUCUAUGCAGUUGGCCAUUCAGCCCACAACUAACAUCCUCCUGAGCUCUGUCUGCUGUACCUUCCUCUUGACUCCCCCUAACAAAAUGAACAGAGGAACUUUAAUUGCUACCUAAAAGCCCAAGAGGAAUCUCUAUCAGACCCAGACCCACAAUUCACUGGUCAGAUGCAUACCGGUCAUACGAAUUUAUGUCAACUGAAAGAUCACUGCUGCCUGAGACAGAUCUAUCACUGCUGGACAACGAAGUGGGACUGAUCAUUGGCAAUGCAGGACUCCGGCUGUCCUGCUUUAGAUGUCCUCGUUCUUGCUUCUCCCGACAAAAUCCACAAGGCCAAUUGUGCCCUUCACCAUUUAA
rnacentral:misc_RNA from 1 species